rnacentral:snoRNA from 2 species
GUUGGUUGAAAAUCCCCUGCGGCCCUGCCCGUGGCGCCCAGAGCCCCCGGGGCCUCAGCUCACCGCGCCCUGGUCCGUGUGGGGAGGUGACACCCGGGCCGACAGCU